GUUUUGAGAUACAUAGGAAGAAAGGUCCUUAUACUUGCAAGCAAACCCACUUGUCACGCACAUUUGAACAGCAAUCCAUACGCACAUUUUGAAAACAGGAGAAGUAUCAGCAAAUAAAAUGAGAUAUAAAUGCAAAAGAUUUGAAAAGAACAAGCGGUAUCCAUUCACAACAAGACAGUAUGAUAUUACAGGAGUAAAACUCUUUAAGAGAUUCGUUAGUUUAGGUUCAGUUCUAUUUUAAACGUUAAAAUAUGUGCCGUAAAGUUCUUUUGGGUAUGGGAAGUGCUAAUUCCCUUCAUCAAAAGAAUGGCUUUCCCCCAUUUCAUUCUGAGUUUCCCAGAGUUUCAGUCUUCUUCAUGGUGCUGUUUUUCUGUUUUUUGUGAUUUUAUCCUUUCAUUCUGCCAAAUGGUAAAUGGCGUAUACUGUAUUUAAUUUUAAAUUUCAACUCAGUUAAAGACAGCUCAUUUAAAAAGCCAUUUAAGCACUUUGAGCCAAUUAAAAAAAAGAUCAGUGGCACCCUCGCUUCAGAAAGGACAGGGCAUAAAAAUAUCCAGGUUGGCACCCUGGGAUGGAUUCACGUCGCCUUUGAAUGCCGAGAAGCUUGGCUGGGAGAUUCAGCUCUCCUGUGGGAGGUGGUGCGCGCUGACGGAGAAGCAGGGCCUGGACUCUCUCCGUUUCAGGUCUCCGUCGGAGAACCAUGGGACUGGAGGCCCGUCCCUGAACCACCCCUCAGCUCAGGUUCUCUCAUCCUCCCGGAACUAUAACUUCUGCCUUUUGCUAGUAGCAGCCACCACCCCAGUGUGCUGUACUUUUAGGAAGCAUCAUUCAUGUGUCAAGGUACUGAGUGACCUCAAACUUCUCCUUCCAUAGUAGCCUCUCAGUCUGUAGGUGAGCCGACCCUGAAAAGUGGACGGAUGUUAGCAGUGCCCUGUUCUGUUCUGGGCACCCCUGCUCAACAGCUGUGUUCUUUAUUGGUAGGUGAACUUGGUAUCGUGACAUCCUGUGCUUCCACCCCUUGUCCCACUAGGCCAUGAGGUAAACACCAGUGUAGAGUUUCGCUCUGUGCCACAUCUUUAGUUGAUAAUUGAUGGAAUAUUUUAUAUUUCUUCGAUCCUACCUCAGUACAUUGCCAGAAACUGCUGGAUUUCACCUGUGUGAUUUUUCAAAAGAAAUUAAAUGAUGAGUCCCUAAAAGGGUUCAUAUUUGCUUAUUAUUUCUGGCUUAAUAAAGGGGGGAAAAAACAGAUAAGACCAGAGCACCUGUAAUCAGUGUUGCCGGAAAUUAUGACCCUGUUAGUUUGACAUUUCUUUUUUUUUUUGGUGGUGGUGGUCAAAGAAGAGUCUAAUUAUUAGGCUGUUAGAAAUCUUAUUUAAGUGCUCAUUAAAUGUGCUACCCGUUUAAUAGGCUUGCCUGAUCAUUAUGAGCCUUAGGAAAAUUAUUUUUCAAGUCUUGUAUUUUUCCACUGAAUACCUCAGGAGCGGUGGAGUUUGAGCAGCUGAUCCUAGUGAGGAGGAAAGACUGGUGCCCUGUGUGCAGGAGAUGCUCAGAAAUUAUAAUAGUUCUCAGAUGUCCCUAAGGUAGAUGUACAGAUUUGGGGUUUUUGUUUUGUUUUUGUUUUGAGACAGGACUUCACUAUGUAGUUCAGGCUGUCCUUGAAUUCACUACAUAGCCCAGGCUGGUCUCCCACUUGCAGCAAUCCUCCUGCCUCAGCCUCCUGAGUGCUGCGAUUAAAGAUAUAUACCACCACACCUGGAAAAUUCUGGAAAAUAAAUUUGGAAAAAAUGAUUUGAGAUUAGAAAGAAGAAGCAUCAAGGAUAAAAUAGAGAUUUUUUUCUUUAAGUUUUGAAAAUAAACCAACUUUUACACUAAAAACUAAGUCAGUGGGGACACAUCUCAAUUUUCUGUAUAGUGGAAAAUUACAG
rnacentral:lncRNA from 1 species